ensembl:lncRNA
CAGGUGGUGCUAGGUGGUGCUAUGAAGUGUUAGGUGGUGCUAUGAAGUGUUAGGUGGUGCUAGGUGGUGCUAUGAAGUGUCAGGUGGUGCUAGGUGGUGCUAUGAAGUGUUAGGUGGUGCUAGGUGGUGCUAUGAAGUGUUAGGUGGUGCUAUGAAGUGCUAGGUGGUGCUAGGUGGUGCUAUGAAGUGCUAGGUGGUGCUAUGAAGUGCUAGGUGGUGCUAUGAAGUGUUAGGUGGUGCUAGGUGGUGUUAGGUGGUGCUAUGAAGUGUUAGGUGGUGCUAGGUGGUGCUAUGAAGUGUUAGGUGGUGCUAUGAAGUGUUAGGUGGUGCUAUGAAGUGUUAGGUGGUGCUAUGAAGUGUUAGUUGGUGCUAGGUGAUGCUAUGAAGUGUUAGGUGGUGCUAUGAAGUGUUAGGUGGUGCUAUGAAGUGUUAGGUGGUGCUAGGUGGUGCUAUGAAGUGUUAGGUGGUGCUAUGAAGUGUUAGGUGGUGCUAUGAAGUGUUAGGUGGUGCUAUGAAGUGUUAGUUGGUGCUAGGUGAUGCUAUGAAGUGUUAGGUGGUGCUAUGAAGUGUUAGGUGGUGCUAUGAAGUGUUAGGUGGUGCUAGGUGGUGCUAUGAAGUGUUAGGUGGUGCUAUGAAGUGUUAGGUGGUGCUAUGAAGUGUUAGGUGGUGCUAGGUGGUGCUAUGAAGUGGUAGGUGGUGCUAUGAAGUGUUAGUUGGUGCUAGGUGGUGCUAUGAAGUGCUAGGUGGUGCUAUGAAGUGUUAGGUGGUGCUAGGUGGUGCUAUGAAGUGGUAGGUGGUGCUAGUUGGCGCUAUGAAGUGUUAGGUGGUGCUAUGAAGUGUUAGGUGGUGCUAGGUGGUGCUAUGAAGUGUUAGGUGGUGCUAGGUGGUGCUAGGUGGUGCUAUGAAGUGGUAGGUGGUGUUAGGUGGUGCUAGGUGGUGCUAUGAAGUGGUAGCUGGUGUUAGGUGGUGCUAGGUGUUGCUCGGUGGUGCGCUAUGAAGUGUUAGGUGGUGUUAGGUUGUGUGAGGUGGUGCUAAGUGAUGCUAUGAAGUGGUAGGUGGUGCUAGGUGGUGCUAUGAAGUGCUAGGUGGUGCUAUGAAGUGUUAGGUGGUGCUAGGUGGUGCUAUGAAGUGCUAGGUGGUGCUAUGAAGUGUUAGGUGGUGCUAGGGGGUGUUAGGUGGUGCUAUGAAGUGUUAGGUGGUGCUAUGAAGUGCUAGGGUGUGCUAUGAAGUGUUAGGUGGUGCUUGGUGGUGUUAGGUGGUGCUAUGAAGUGUUAGGUGGUGCUAUGAAGUGUUAGGUGGUGCUAUGAAGUGUUAGGUGGUGCUAUGAAGUGUUAGGUGGUGCUAGGUGGUGCUAUGACGUGUUAGGUGGUGCUAUGAAGUGUUAGGUGGUGCUAUGAAGUGUUAGGUGGUGUUAGGUGGUGCUAUGAAGUGGUAGGUGGUGCUAGGUGGUGCUAGGUGGUGUUAGGUGGUGGUAGGUGGUGCUAUGAAGUGCUAGGUGGUGCUAAGU